rnacentral:lncRNA from 1 species
GUUCAGGGGUGCGAUUCACUAAGAAAAAACAUCUUUACAACCAAGAAAUCAUCGUUGUAACAUCAGAUGUAAACUCGGCGGUAUUCAUUAGUUAAAAUUGCGCGAUCGUAGCGCCUCAACGAUGUUGACGGCGUGACAUAGAACUAACAUUUGGAGCCAAAUGUAUGAAAAUCGGUAUUCAGCAACACGAAACAUCCUCGCCUGCAACGACAACCUCGCCUUCGCCCUCGAUUUUAUCUGUCAAACCGAAAAGCUUGUAAAUUGUGGAUGUUUUCUUGGAUGAAGGCGAUUAAAAUAUGGCAGUUCGUCUUUCCUGUACUUAUGAUUUUUUUGUUGGAAGAAACUAAACAUCAAGAUAAUUAAAUAACUAAAAAGUCACGCCUCCGUGAUACGUAAUAUGGAUUUACUUACUACUGAUAAAAACUAUAUUAAGGUUGACUGAAGAACAGAUUAGACAGUUGAAAGAAGAUUUCUCCUUUCCUAACAAAGGCGAAUCGUUAAGGAGGAAUUAGCAACCACACCAAUAUAUUACACUUAAACAAUAUAAUAUAAAUCAUCAUACAGUACAGUGGAUAGGUGCUUAAAACUUACUGGCCAUCAACCUUUUGUAUGUACUGUAAAUUUUUUGGUUAGUGGGAUUUAUGUACCAAAUAAUGCUAUGUGACAUUGCAAGAACAAUAUCUGACGGGCAUCUGCCUCAAGGACUCAACAAUAUACAGUAGAUGCCAUCAACCAUCCAGAUAUUAUUGAUAAGUACGAGGUAAGAAGCGACUGUGACCCGGUUAACAAGCAAGCCGGACUCUAGCAGUGACUUGGACAGUGGACGUCAUGCUAGAAGUUAUUUAAUAAACAAUAAUAUGUGUGACACCUUCUAACAAUACAUAUGUAUUUUAUUACCUGUUACUGUUACAGCCUCUUUUUUAUCGUCCCACUGCUGGGCACAGGCCUUCUCUCACAUGGUUUGAGCAUUGAGCACCACACUUGCUCAAUGCGGGUUGGUGAUUUCAGACUAUAUAGUCCAGGUUUCCUCAAGAUGUUUUCCUUCACCUUUUUAUCAGCCAGUGGCGUCCGAGAUAUACUUAGAAAGUACAUAAAAAACUUAAAAAAGUUGCAUUAUUUUACCGUAUUUUACCUGUGUAUGUUAAAUAGUAUUUUAACAUUACACAAUAGUGUGCAGGUAUCAAAGUAAUUUUUAUAAAAAUACUUAACUUUUCUGUAAUCAUUAAUUAAUAAAACAAUAUUUUAAUUCAACAUGUCUUUUUAUUAUUUUGUAUUUCAUAAUGAACAUGGAUUUAUUUAUCUAAAUUCAGAUUCCAAAACAUUCUCCUCACAUAAUGAAAUGUAUUUUUAACUCAAUUACAACGAGUUCUGGCAAACUCUUCACUUCAUGUUGCCUCGCAGGUGCAAUUGAACUGGACUUCCUCUGCACUGCUCCUUUUUGUCCUUCCAGUACUGCAACACAAGCAAAAAUUAUAUGGUGUAAUAUUAUAUAAAAUAAUUAAAACAACUAUUUGCUUGGUGUGGUUUAACUUUCAGUUGCAAUUUCAAAUGCCUUUAUGAUUGAAUUUGAAGGAUAGAGUAAAAUCAUUGUAUGUAUAUGCCUGCUGUCAACACUAAUUUAGUACCUAAUACAUACAAAACACAAUGUAAAAGAGUACCUACUCUUACCUACUUACCAUGAUUUAAUGCAACAGUAAACACACACAGGUUCAUAAAUUAUUAUUGAUUACUAACCUUACACCACUGCUCCAAUAUUUUCAUACACCCACUACGUCACUGUUUGGGGCUGUUGUUUUCGGAUCGUGCCUGAUGACUGCUCGCAUUUGCAGUACGAUCAUGGGCCCAUCAUAAUCAAACAUGGUUUGUUUUCCAAAAAGCUUACUAGCUCUUCCAGCUGACUCAACGAAGGCAGUGCGUUGCGAGA